UAAAUAUGUCAAGUUUGAAAUGUUUUUGUGAUGGGUUGUGCAAGUUCUAAUCAAAGGGAAGUUGUUUUUAUUGUGAUCGUAUGGAUAUUCUUAUUUCUGGAUACGGCGAUGUAUUUAUUUUUUUUCACUCUACUGGAAAGAUCGACGUGCAUUCACAAAGGGGUGGUGUAUAAAAAUUUUAGCGGACUUCAAGCUCGUGCAGGUGAUUUUUAUAAUGAUGCGUGUACAGGAAAUUUUUUGCAAAAACUUCAAAAGACAUUUUAUAUAAAAUAAAUGUUUAAAAUAAAAAAAAAUUUUCAGGUGUAGAUUACUUCGAACACUAUAUAAAUACUUGAAAACUUUGAAAUUGGACAAGAAUACUGUUUUAUGUCUUAAAUGUUAUCGUCUAAGGUAAUUAGAAGGGAUCUGUACAUAUAAAUACAUCGUAUUAUAAUCUAAUUUAA